rnacentral:rRNA from 1 species
CCUACGGGGGGCAGCAGUGAGGAAUAUUGGUCAAUGGACGAGAGUCUGAACCAGCCAAGUAGCGUGAAGGAUGACUGCCCUAUGGGUUGUAAACUUCUUUUAUAUGGGAAUAAAAUGUUCCACGUGUGGGAUUUUGUAUGUACCAUAUGAAUAAGGAUCGGCUAACUCCGUGCCAGCAGCCGCGGUAAUACGGAGGAUCCGAGCGUUAUCCGGAUUUAUUGGGUUUAAAGGGAGCGUAGGUGGCUUGUUAAGUCAGUUGUGAAAGUUUGCGGCUCAACCGUAAAAUUGCAGUUGAAACUGGCAGUCUUGAGUACAGUAGAGGUGGGCGGAAUUCGUGGUGUAGCGGUGAAAUGCUUAGAUAUCACGAAGAACUCCGAUUGCGAAGGCAGUUCACUGGACUGCAACUGACACUGAGGCUCGAAAGUGUGGGUAUCAAACAGGAUUAGAUACCCGUGUAGUC